rnacentral:rRNA from 1 species
GUGGGGAAUAUUGGACAAUGGGCGAAAGCCUGAUCCAGCCAUGCCGCGUGUGUGAAGAAGGUCUUCGGAUUGUAAAGCACUUUAAGUUGGGAGGAAGGGCAGUAAGUUAAUACCUUGCUGUUUUGACGUUACCGACAGAAUAAGCACCGGCUAACUUCGUGCCAGCAGCCGCGGUAAUACGAAGGGUGCAAGCGUUAAUCGGAAUUACUGGGCGUAAAGCGCGCGUAGGUGGUUUUGUAAGUUGGAGGUGAAAUCCCCGGGCUCAACCUGGGAACUGCCUCCAAAACUGCAGGACUAGAGGACGGUAGAGGGUAGUGGAAUUUCCUGUGUAGCGGUGAAAUGCGUAGAUAUAGGAAGGAACACCAGUGGCGAAGGCGACUACCUGGACUGAUACUGACACUGAGGUGCGAAAGCGUGGGGAGCAAACAGGAUUAGAUACCCCUGUAGUCC